rnacentral:lncRNA from 1 species
GAAGCAAAUCACCCAACCGUAAAAGUGAUCCGGCAGAGUCGCCGCACUGGAAAACUUUGCCACUGGUAAGCUUUCAUUUUUCAACUUUUUUUGGCCAACCGAGUCCCCUUAACGUAUUUUCUCCCAGGGAUGGAUACAAAACCGGCCGAAAUCUCGCUACAGUAAGUAUGCGGUAAAUUAUUUUAUUCAUGAAAAAUAAAU